UACGUAGGGGGCACGCGUUGUCCGGAAUCAUUGGGCGUAAAGCGCGUGUAGGCGGCUCGGUAAGUCUGCUGUGAAAGUCCAGGGCUCAACCCUGGGAUGCCGGUGGAUACUGUCGAGCUCGAGUCCGGAAGAGGCGAGUGGAAUUCCUGGUGUAGCGGUGAAAUGCGCAGAUAUCAGGAGGAACACCAAUGGCGAAGGCAGCUCGCUGGGACGUGACUGACGCUGAGACGCGAAAGCGUGGGGAGCAAACAGG
rnacentral:rRNA from 1 species